rnacentral:piRNA from 1 species
UGCCUCCAGGCUUGUUGCCUGCCAAAGGUGU